AAGUCGUAACAAGGUUUCCGUAGGUGAACCUGCGGAAGGAUCAUUAAUAAAAUUUUAAAUCCUUUUGGAUUUUCUUUUUUUUUUUUUUUUUUACAACCUCUCCCUCAGAAUGUUAUGUCCUUUCUAUUGGGCUAACAGGUAUGUGUGGAAGAUUUUAACAACAAAUGAGAUAAAGAAUAAGGGUUAAUGGAGGAAAGAUAUGCAUAUAGUUUGUUUUACAUUAUGUAUAUGUAUAAUUAUAUAUAGUGUGAUAACUUCUAGUAUCUAAUUGACCUUUGUCCUUCUUUCUCAGAAUCCGAAUGGAUAGCUAGUCAAAUAUAAUAUAAAAAAACUUUCAACAACGGAUCUCUUGGUUCUC
rnacentral:misc_RNA from 1 species